rnacentral:rRNA from 1 species
UAGGGAAUCUUCGGCAAUGGGGGGAACCCUGACCGAGCAACGCCGCGUGAGUGAAGAAGGUUUUCGGAUCGUAAAGCUCUGUUGUUAAGGAAGAACGAGUGCGAGAAUGGAAAGUUCAUACUGUGACGGUACUUAACCAGAAAGGGACGGCUAACUACGUGCCAGCAGCCGCGGUAAUACGUAGGUCCCGAGCGUUGUCCGGAUUUAUUGGGCGUAAAGCGAGCGCAGGCGGUUAGAUAAGUCUGAAGUUAAAGGCAGUGGCUCAACCAUUGUAGGCUUUGGAAACUGUUUAACUUGAGUGCAGAAGGGGAGAGUGGAAUUCCAUGUGUAGCGGUGAAAUGCGUAGAUAUAUGGAGGAACACCGGUGGCGAAAGCGGCUCUCUGGUCUGUUACUGACGAUGAGGCUCGAAAGCGUGGGGAGCGAACAGG